UACGUAGGGUGCAAGCGUUGUCCGGAAUUAUUGGGCGUAAAGAGCUCGUAGGCGGUUUGUCGCGUCUGCUGUGAAAACUCGGGGCUUAACUCCGGGCCUGCAGUGGGUACGGGCAGACUAGAGUGCGGUAGGGGAGGCUGGAAUUCCUGGUGUAGCGGUGAAAUGCGCAGAUAUCAGGAGGAACACCGGUGGCGAAGGCGGGUCUCUGGGCCGUAACUGACGCUGAGGAGCAAAAGCGUGGGGAGCGAACAGG
rnacentral:rRNA from 1 species